rnacentral:rRNA from 1 species
AUGGGAGCUUUCCCUUCACCGCCCCCAUGGGGGUGGUCCAUAGGGUUCAUAACUACCCCUCUUACUAUGGGGCGUUUACCUAGCCAACACUUAGAUCCGGCUCUACCUAAACUUUUUUGGUUCACCCCAACAUUACCCACUUGUCCGACUGUUGCUAAGCAGUUUUGGGAUACUAAACGGACCUCCCCAGAUGGUAAUCUUAAAGUGGCCGAUUUACCCUCUUUUGCAAUGAGUUUCGCUACAGCACCUGCUGCUCUAGCUAAUUGCACACCCCUUCCACGUGUGAUUUCUAUGUUAUGCAUGGCCGUGCCUAAGGGCAUAUCGGUUGAAGUAGGGCAUUUCCCAUUGAUAUAG